ensembl:antisense Junos jun proto-oncogene, opposite strand
UGAUUUGCUUCUGGGAAAACAAGCCUUGAGAGCUGCGGACUCGCCCCAAGUCACGGUGCUUAAGCAGGAGUCCCUGGUAGAAACAGGCUGAAAACUCCCCUCCCCGCUCACUGGUGGAGUCAUAUCCUGUGCGGCCUCUAGGAAGCGCUAGACACAUGUGGUUCCCCAGACCCUGUUCAACUGUCCCGCAGGCCGGGACAGAAGCCAGCUAAGGUUGCUUGAUAGAAGGCUGAGAAAGAAUGAGGCUGCUGAGUGAAGCCAGAGGGAGAAUACGCUCAAAGACAAGCAGGUCCAUCAAGUCAGAGUGGAGAGCGGGAUGAGAAAAAGACCAUUUCUCCAAGUGAGAAAGGUGGCAAAGUCGCUGGAGCCCAGAAGAAUUAGUCUGAACUGGAAUGUGUUUACCACUCCAACCUGCUUCUCCUAUCAGUUCCCUUCACGGGUACAAGGAAACAUCUGCCUACUUGUCCAUACGAGGAUUUCAUUACCAUUCUAAAAGUGUUAUCGGACUUCGCUGCCUCCUUCUUCACCAACCUAUGAUCGAUCAGCCUAAUAAAUGGUCAUGAGUGUGUUCUGCCUUCCCCAUUAUAACAAGGUCAAGAUUGGUCAAAGAC